AGCGAACGCUGGCGGCAGGCCUAACACAUGCAAGUCGAACGAAGUCUUCGGACUUAGUGGCGGACGGGUGAGUAACACGUGGGAACGUGCCUUUAGGUUCGGAAUAACUCAGGGAAACUUGUGCUAAUACCGAAUGUGCCCUUCGGGGGAAGGAUUUAUCGCCUGUAGAGCGGCCCGCGUCUGAUUAGCUAGUUGGUGGGGUAAUGGCCCACCAAGGCUACGAUAAGUAGCUGGUCUGAGAGGAUGACCAGCCACAUUGGGACUGAGACACGGCCCAAACUCCUACGGGAGGCAGCAGUGGGGAAUCUUGCGCAAUGGGCGAAAGCCUGACGCAGCCAUGCCGCGUGGAUGAUGAAGGUCUUAGGAUUGUGAAAUCCUUUCACCGGUGAAGAUAAUGACUGUAGCCGGAGAAGAAGCCCCGGCUAACUUCGUGCCAGCAGCCGCAGUAACAC
rnacentral:rRNA from 1 species